rnacentral:pre_miRNA from 1 species
CUUAUACUCCCUCUGUCCCAAAAUUCUUAUCUUAAAUUUGUCUAAAUACGGAUGUAUCAAGUCACGUUUUAGUAUUAGAUACAUCCGUAUCUAGACAAAUCUAAGACAACAAUUUUGGGACGGAGGGAAUACCAU